rnacentral:rRNA from 1 species
CCUACGGGGGGCAGCAGUAGGGAAUAUUGGACAAUGGGCGCAAGCCUGAUCCAGCCAUGCCGCGUGAGUGAUGAAGGCCUUAGGGUUGUAAAGCUCUUUCGGCGGGGAAGCGGUACCCGCAUAAGAAGCCCCGGCUAACUUCGUGCCAGCAGCCGCGGUAAUACGAAGGGGGCUAGCGUUGCUCGGAAUCACUGGGCGUAAAGCGCACGUAGGCGGACUCUUAAGUCAGGGGUGAAAUCCUGGAGCUCAACUCCAGAACUGCCUUUGAUACUGGGAGCCUUGAGUUCGGGAGAGGUGAGUGGAACUGCGAGUGUAGAGGUGAAAUUCGUAGAUAUUCGCAAGAACACCAGUGGCGAAGGCGGCUCACUGGCCCGUCUGACGCUGAGGUGCGAAAGCGUGGGGAGCAAACAGGAUUAAUACCCUUGUAGUC